UAAGGAAUAUUGCGCAAUGGGCGAAAGCUUGACGCAGCCAUGCCGCGUGGAUGACGAAGGCCUUCGGGUCGUAAAGUCCUUUUAUCAGGGAAGAACAAGCGCGAGAAGAAAAAGCUCGCGCCCUGACGGUACCUGAUGAAUAAGCAACGGCUAACUCCGUGCCAGCAGCCGCGGUAAUACGGAGGUUGCGAGCGUUGUUCGGAUUUACUGGGCGUAAAGGGAGCGCAGGCGGCUAGAUAAGUCUAAAGUGAAAGUCUGGGGCUUAACCCCGGAAGUGCUUCGGAUACUGUCUAGCUUGAGUAUGUGAGAGGAGUGCGGAAUUUCAGGUGUAGCGGUGAAAUGCGUAGAUAUCUGAAGGAACACCGGUGGCGAAAGCGGCACUCUGGCGCAAGACUGACGCUGAGGCUCGAAAGCGUGGGGAGCGAACGGG
rnacentral:rRNA from 1 species